UUGAGAAGAUGCCAGGCAGAGUAGAAAAGAAAGGAAGGAAAAGGAAUACAUUAAAAAAAUACAGAUAUAAAUUUUAAAACAGCCAGAGGGAUAUGGAAUGAUUUUCUUUGGGCCCAAACAAUUUGGGAUGUCACCAGGAGACCUAUGAUAGGUUGGAGCUCACUUUCUUUCAAGAUGUCUGUAAGAGGACACAAUAUUUGCCUUCCGAACAUGCCAGCAAACAAGAAAAGUCAAAGGUGAUGCAGCCAUAUGGGUUACAAAUACAUCAGCAGGCUAAAUCUAUUCCUGGAGCUCAUUCAUCAUUAUAACACCCCAUUGACAUGGGAAGGUGACAAAGAUUAUUGUUCCUGUUUUAAAUCUGAUUGAAAAGUCCUUGACUGAACUUGGUUUGAGGGUGAGAAAGCGAUUGUACUCGGACCUCACCCAUGGUUUUACUUGAAUGUAG